UGUGAGCUCGAUGAGUAGGGCGGGACACGUGGUAUCCUGUCUGAAUAUGGGGGGACCAUCCUCCAAGGCUAAAUACUCCUGACUGACCGAUAGUGAACCAGUACCGUGAGGGAAAGGCGAAAAGAACCCCGGCGAGGGGAGUGAAAAAGAACCUGAAACCGUGUACGUACAAGCAGUGGGAGCCCCACCACUAAGCCAGUGGUGAACUCCACAUACGCAUCCUUUGCUGAGGAUACGGUUAACGGAGCGAAAGCGACGUUCAACCGCAAAAGAAGCAGAGGGGGCUUAGUGGUGGGGUGACUGCGUACCUUUUGUAUAAUGGGUCAGCGACUUAUAUUCUGUAGCAAGGUUAACCGUAUAGGGGAGCCGGAGGGAAACCGAGUCUUAAUUGGGCGUUAAGUUGCAGGGUAUAGACCCGAAACCCGGUGAUCUAGCCAUGGGCAGGUUGAAGGUUGGGUAACACUAACUGGAGGACCGAACCGACUAAUGUUGAAAAAUUAGCGGAUGACCUGUGGCUG
rnacentral:rRNA from 1 species